rnacentral:rRNA from 1 species
GAUUUACGAGGAAGUUGAACCGAUAAGGUGAAACGGAGAGAGCCGACAUUUCUGGCCUGUAUUAAGCCGGGUGGCUGUUCAUCGCUGAUUAGUCGGUCCUGCUCUUUGGCUGGCUGGUCAGUGGUUGGGCGGUUUUACCGGUGCAUAACCUGUGCAGGUGAAUGUGCGCCGAAGCUCGCACCAUGCAUCGGCUGGAUAGUCUUUGAGGUCUCCCUUCGGGCGAGAAACCCAAGCUUCUGGAAGGCUGUUUGCUGUGCGUAUAGCUUGGUCCACGGUUUUCGGUUGAGUCGGCAGAUGGUUCUUCCUGGGAUUAUGGUCUCAUGCGACUGUGUCUCAUUGGGUUCUGGCUGUCGGUAAGGCCUUCGUGGCAUUCUUCGGUGUAAAAGUCGGUCAUCUCUCCACCCGUCUUGAAACACGGACCAAGGAGUUUAACGAGUGCGCGAGUCAUUGAGUGUGCAAACGCAAAGGCGCAAUGAAAGUAAAGGCUUCGCUUGACGAUCUUAUAUGCGAUCUCGGUGGUUUCAGCCAUUGAGAGCAGCAUAGCCCCGUCCAGACUCGCUUGCAAUGGGGCGGAGGAAGAGCGUACUCGCUGAGACCCGAAGAUGGUGAACUAUGCCUGAACAGGCCCAAAGCCAUAGGAAACUCUGGUGAAGCCAGGAGCGGUUCUGACGUGCAAAUCGGUCAUCUGACUUGAGUACAGGGGCGAAAGACUAAUCGAACCAUCUAGUAGCUGGUUUUCCUUCGCAACCUAGUACGAUCGUGUACAAGUAGUCCCUGGACCGGGAAGA